rnacentral:antisense_RNA from 1 species
CUUGAGGGAGCCCAGCCGGAGGGGGUGGUCCUGCAGGCGGUUCUGGCCGUAGGCGGCGAUGACGGCCUGGGCCUC